AUUGAACGCUGGCGGCAGGCCUAACACAUGCAAGUCGAGCGGAUGAAGGGAGCUUGCUCCUGGAUUCAGCGGCGGACGGGUGAGUAAUGCCUAGGAAUCUGCCUGGUAGUGGGGGAUAACGUCCGGAAACGGGCGCUAAUACCGCAUACGUCCUGAGGGAGAAAGUGGGGGAUCUUCGGACCUCACGCUAUCAGAUGAGCCUAGGUCGGAUUAGCUAGUUGGUGGGGUAAAGGCCUACCAAGGCGACGAUCCGUAACUGGUCUGAGAGGAUGAUCAGUCACACUGGAACUGAGACACGGUCCAGACUCCUACGGGAGGCAGCAGUAGGGAAUAUUGGGCAAUGGGCGAAAGCCUGACCCAGCCAUGCCGCGUGAGUGAAGAAGGUCUUCGGAUUGUAAAGCACUUUAAGUAGGGAGGAAGAGCAGUAAGUGAAUACCUGGCUGUUUUGACGGUACCAACAGAAUAAGCACCGGCUAACUUCGUG
rnacentral:rRNA from 1 species